rnacentral:lncRNA from 10 species
AUAAGACCUCUCAAGGAAGGGAGGACAAUUAUCCUCUUUCUCCCCUACCUCACCUUUCCACCCUAUAAAAGUGUGGCAGACUCAAACCAAACUUGUUGGCUGGAAGCCUAAAGGGAUUCCUCCUCAUGUGGCAGGCUGUCGUAGCAUUUUUAUGAUAGCUAGUGUUUCUUUUGGUCUGAAACUCUGGUAUGUGAAAUAUAGGUCAGGGGUUGGAAAUUAAUGCCUGCUUUUCAUGUGAGAAGGAAUAAUUGGCAUGAAAUGUAGUAAAGAAUGCCUGCAAGCCUGGCGGUGUUGGGUCAUUUUUUUUUUUUUUUUUUUGUUAUUGGUUUUAAGUAGGUUUUCUCCCUUGGGAGAGCCAUGCUGCCAAUAACUCUCUCAACAGGAUUCUUCUCCAGUU